AUUGAACGCUGCGGCAGGCCUAACACAUGCAAGUCGAACGAGUGGCGGACGGGUGCGUAAUGUCUGGGAAACUGCCCGCUGGAGGGGGAUAACGACUGGAAACGGUAGCUAAUACCGCAUACCAUCGGAUGUGCCCAGAUGGGAUUAGCUAGUAGGUGGGGUAACGGCUCCCCUAGGCGACGUUCCCUAGCUGGUCUGAGAGGAUGACCAGCCACACUGUGACUGCGACACGGUCCAGACUCCUACGGGCGGCAGCAGUGGGGAAUAGUGCACAAUGGGCGCAAGCCUUAUGCAGCCAUGCCGCGUGUCUGAAGAAGGCCUUCGGGUUGUAAAGUACUUUCUGCGGGGAGGCGUUACCCGCAGAAGAAGCACCGGCUAACUCCGUGCCAGCAGCCGCGUUAAUUC
rnacentral:rRNA from 1 species